rnacentral:rRNA from 1 species
CCCUUAGAUGUCCGGGGCCGCACGCGCGCUACACUGAAGGAAUCAGCGUGGCUUUCUCCCUGACCCGAAAGGGUUGGGAAACCCGUUGAACCUCCUUCGUGCUUGGGAUUGGGGCUUGCAAUUAUUCCCCAUGAACGAGGAAUUCCCAGUAGGCGCGAGUCAUCAGCUCGCGUCGAUUACGUCCCUGCCCUUUGUACACACCGCCCGUCGCUACUACCGAUCGGAUGGUUUAGUGAGACCCUCGGACUGGUCCCGCUGUCGGACAGGCAACUGUUUGCAGCGCGUGCGCCGGGAAGAAGGUCGAACUUGACUAUCUAGAGGAAGUAAAAGUCGUAACA